rnacentral:rRNA from 1 species
ACCCGCUGAACUUAAGCAUAUCAGUAAGCGGAGGAAAAGAAACUAACUAGGAUUCCCCGAGUAACGGCGAGCGAAAGGGGAGAAGCCCAGCGCCGAAGCACGCGUCCUCCGGGCGCGGUGCAAUGUGGCGUUUCGGUGGCGGCUCGUCCGACCGUUCUGGCACGCGUACCUCUGAAUGGGUCUGCCCGCAGCGGGUGUCAGGCCUCUAGGUGCCGAGCGGACGGUCGCGGCCUCGCCGUCAUCGCGGAGUCGGGUUGCUUGAGAGUGCAGCCCAAAGUGGGUGGUAAGCUCCAUCUAAGGCUAAAUACCUAGUGCGAGACCGAUAGCAAACAAGUACCGUGAGGGAAAGUUGCAAAGAACUUUGAAAAGAGAGUUCAAGAGUACGUGAAACCGUUCAGAGGCAAACGGACGGAACUGGGCGAGUUCGCCGCCGCCAUUCAGCUGUCGUCGUCACACGGCAGUGCACUUGGCGGCGGCGGAGCGCGACGACCGCCUGUCGGGUCGUCAGAAGCCCGGCGGCAAGGUGGCGACGCGUUCGCGCGUCGUGUUACAGGCCGCCGCGGCGUUGGCAGACUCGGCGGGCGAGGAGCGCCUGCGAUGCACUCCCGCGAGGGAGUGGCCCGACGUGGUGGGCUGGCGGACGCCGGCGACGAACUGCACGCAGUUCGACGCUCGAGCGCUCCGGCUGUCGCGCCGCGCGGUGCCACGCCUGCAUCCAGGGUCCGGGUCGCGUGGUUCCCGGCACUCCGUCCGACCCGUCUUGAAACACGGACCAAGGAGUUGAGCACGUGCGCGAGUCGAUGGGCUUCACGAACCCCAGUGGCGCAGCUAAGGCAAGAACGGGCGUGAUCCGGCACUGGCGUGUCGGCGCAACGCCGGCCCGCAGCCGACUCGUUGCGAGUGGCUGCGGAGCAAGAGCGUACGUGCUCCGACCCGAAAGGUGGUGAACUAUGCUUGAGCAGGGCGAAGCCAGAGGAAACUCUGGUGGAGGCUCGCAGCGAUCCUGACGUGCAAAUCGGUCGUCAAACUUGAGCAUAGGGGCGAAAGACUAAUCGAACCGCCUAGUAGCUGGUUCCCUCCGAAGUUUCCCUCAGGAUAGCUGGCACUCGGGAUAAAUGGUUUUAUCCGGUAAAGCGAAUGAUUAGAGGCAUUGGGGACGAAACGUCCUCAACCUAUUCUCAAACUUUAAAUGGGUAAGAGGCGCGGCCCUUCCUGAUCCGGGGUCGCGUGCUCGAACAGAGAGUGCCCAGUGGGCCGUUUUUGGUAAGCAGAACUGGCGCUGUGGGAUGAACCAAACGCGCGGUUAGGGUGCCUAACGCACGCUCAUGAGACACCACAAAAGGUGUUGGUUGAUAUAGACAGCAGGACGGUGGCCAUGGAAGUCGGAAUCCGCUAAGGAGUGUGUAACAACUCACCUGCCGAAUCAACUAGCCCUGAAAAUGGAUGGCGCUGGAGCGUGCGACCCAUACCGCGCCGUCGGGGCAACGCGUGCGAAAUGCCAGGCCCCGAUGAGUAGGAGGGCGUGUCGGUGGCGUUGAAGCGUAGUGCGCGAGCACGCGUGGAGCCGCCUUCAGUGCAGAUCUUGGUGGUAGUAGCAAGUAUACAAAUGAGAACUUUGUAGACCGAAGUGGAGAAGGGUUCCAUGUGAACAGCAGUUGGACAUGGGUCAGUCGGCCCUAAGAGAUCGGAAAACUCCGUUCUGAACGGGGAGAGGCACACGAACGUACGAGGCGUCGUCCGUCGUCGCGUCCGAACUGUCCGGGGAGUAGCGCGCUCGCAUGCGCGCGUGCCGGUGUGCCGUCGCACACGCCGGUCACGCGCGCCUCUGCCUUGUGGCGCGCGCCUCGACGGGAAAGAGCGCACGGCCUUAUGGCGCGCCUCGCCAUGCGUACGUCGUCGCUGCCACGCUCCGAUUCGAUCGAAAGGGAAUCGGGUUAAUAUUCCCGAACCUGGCAGUGGAGAUCGGGCCUUCGGGCCCCAGUGCGGUAACGCAACCGAACUCGGAGACGCCAGCGUCGAUCCCGGGAAGAGUUCUCUUUUCUUUGUUAGGAGCGGACUCCCUGGAAUUGGCUUGUCCAGAGAUAGGGACGUUGCAUCCGUAAAGCGUCGCGCCUCACGCGGCGUCCGGUGCAUCGGCGUUGGCCCUUGAAAAUCCGAGGGAGGCAGUGUAAUUUUCACUCCAGGCCGUACCCGAAUCCGCAGCAGGUCUCCAAGGUGAACAGCCUCUGGUCGAUAGAACAAUGUAGGUAAGGGAAGUCGGCAAAUCCGAUCCGUAACUUCGGGAUAAGGAUUGGCUCUGAGGUGCGGGCUGCUUCGGGUCGCCGCAGGAAGCGGAUCGUGCGUUGGUUGGACUGGACGCGCCUCGUGCGCGUUCGGACCGCCGCCAGCGCGCGUCCGUGGGCGGCGGCGGCUUUCGCCGGCGUCGGCUUCGGCUGGCGUCGGCUUCGUUCGGCCUAAACGCACAGCACAGAACUGGCACGGACUCCGGGAACACGACUGU